rnacentral:rRNA from 1 species
CGACGAUCAGUAUCUGGUUUGAGAGGACGAUCAGACACACUGGAACUGAGACACGGUCCAGACUCCUACGGGAGGCAGCAGUGGGGAAUUUUCCGCAAUGGGCGAAAGCCUGACGGAGCAAUACCGCGUGAGGGAUGAAAGCCUAUGGGUUGUAAACCUCUUUUUUCAGGGAGGAACAAAAUGACGUGUACCUGAAGAAUAAGCAUCGGCUAACUCCGUGCCAGCAGCCGCGGUAAGACGGGGGAUGCAAGUGUUAUCCGGAAUCACUGGGCGUAAAGCGUCUGUAGGUGGUUAAGUAAGUCAACUGUUAAAUCUUGAGGCUUAACCUCAAAAUCGCAGUCGAAACUGCUUGACUAGAGUAUAGUAGGGGUAAAGGGAAUUUCCAGUGGAGCGGUGAAAUGCGUAGAUAUUGGAAAGAACACCGAUGGCGAAGGCACUUUACUGGGCUAUUACUAACACUGAGAGACGAAAGCUAGGGUAGCAAAUGGGAUUAGAUACCCCAGUAGUCCUAGCUGUAAACAAUGGAUACUAGAUGUUGAACAGAUCGACCUGUGCAGUAUCAAAGCUAACGCGUUAAGUAUCCCGCCUGGGAAGUAUGCUCGCAAGAGUG